GGUUUGGCACGGAAACAAUGGCCAGCAAAGCUUGGUAAAUGAAGCCGCCUACACCGCCCGGCCCCUCCCUGCACGGCCGCGCACCGCCUCCGCUCCUAUCUCAAUCUGAAUUGUCCUCCUGCAGCCCCACCACCCACCGUGGGGAACCGGUGAAGAGACUACAACUCCUGGCAUGCACCGGGAGGCGGGUGUCGCCCCGCAUUCCCCCGCCCUGGGCUAGGCGCACAGCGCAGCCCGGAGCAGGCUGGCAUCCUAGACCCUCUGCCCUGCCAACAACAGAACAACAGCCGGGGAGUGGACCAGACCCCGGAACUCCCGAAGUUUCCUGAAGACGGUUCCGCUCCCUGCCUCGGCCUUCCAGGCAGCCCAGCAGUUUCGCCCUGCGGAGGGAAGCCUUUCUGUUCUCAAACCUCUCGUGCUGGGGAGGCAGUGGAGCUAGGGCGGCUAGUUUCCCCUUGUAAUUGUGACACCUUGUCUCCUCGAGCUGCAGGCGAAUGCUUGUCACGUUUGUAUUUUGAUUUCUCGCAGAUCAACAAAGGGCCGGUGGCCUCUCUCGGCCUCCGCCUGAGGGUUGCCAGGAUAACGCUCUUCCGCCAGACUUUGGGUGCGCCCCGCCCCUUUUCUCACACUGCCUCCUCCUCAGCCCCACCCUCUCUCGUUCCUCCCUUUCUAGCUUCCUUUCAGACAUGCGCAGUGCGGCCAUCCCAGUGGCGGGUUAAGGGCCGCGGACCUGGCAGUUCUCAGGCUUCUACAAGGGAGAAGCCCCCCUGCCAGGGUCUCGAUUUCCCGCUAACCAACAAAGGGCCAUUUGCCUCUCAUGGCCUGCGCGGGAGGGUUGCCAUGGAGCGCCGCUUGGUCCUUGGGCUCCCAGCGUGGCCCACACCUGGGUCGGGCCUCUCACGGGGACGCUCCCGCCACUGUAAUAAAGAGGAGAAAACGUCACAGGGGAAGGGCCUGACCCUGCUGCAUCCAGUAAAGAAACAGCCACAGGAAAGGGACCCCGUAAGCCACUUUGGGAGCCACAUCCACCACUUCUCUGACCCCACCCAGGCUGCUUCCCAGGCCUCGUGGUCCUAGUGUGGACCUCCUGGCCGUGAUUAACGCAGUUUUUUAGAUUAAGUACUGCACGACUGCUUGCUUCUGAAACUGUCACAGAAACUGCCUCAGCUCUCUGCAGGGUGGACACACAAGAGCAGAAUCUCCGUGGGACAUCUCUUUGGAGCAACAAUAUUACUACAGUAUUUGGAAGAAACAAAUUUAAAUAAUUUCUAAGGUAAAGAAUGGAACAUUUAAGACAAGGCUGGAAAGUCAUCUGCCUUUAAUAACUGUCAUCUGUGCCUCACAUGUCAGACUUUCUCCAAGAAAAAAACUCUAAGGAGAACUUAUUUCCAUUCUUAUAAAUAGUAAAAAUAAUAAAUCAUAUCAAGUCAA